rnacentral:misc_RNA from 1 species
UGUGGGAGCGAGCCUGCUCGCGAUAGCGGCGUGUCAGGCAACGCAGGUGGCGACUGAUCCGCUAUCGCGAGCAGGCUCGCUCCCACA